rnacentral:lncRNA from 1 species
CAUCACCGCUGAUGGACAACCGUCCAUCUCCGAGGGGUGCUAAUGGUUUCACCGUCUAUUUAUUGUGAGCUACGAACGGAAGACGAGAUCAUCGCCGCGUGUUGCAGGCGAGAAGGUUUCCCAUCUACACCCCGUGACGACGAUCUCGUCGUCCGUUCGCUGGUGGCCACCACAACUUGGGCGACGAUCGGCCGGCCAUGCAUGACCGGCGAUGGAUGGCUAGUUGUAAGAUUGUCGGAGUUUCAUUCGAAUAAAAAUGGAGAAAAUAAAAUUUAUAUUUUAUAUUUUUAAUGAUGGGUAGUUAUGUUCUUUAUAAUAAUUAGGCCGUUUUUAAAAAAAAAAUUAGAGCUUUGAAUAAAAACUCUCAUUUACAAUAGUUAGAGCGCUUUAAAAAAAAUCUAGGACGUCGAAUAAUAACUCUCUUUUCUAUUUCCACAUAUGUAAGUAGCAAUUAAGUUUAGAAGGGGGUUAAAUAAUUAAACCUCUCACUUGAAUGAUUCUGAAGCCCAUCCACAUGUUGGAUUCAUCAAA